GCAAGUCGAACGAGACCCUGGAGCUCGCUCAAGGUGACAGUGGCCGACGGGUGAGUAACGCGUGGCAACAUACCCUUCGGUGGGGGACAACAGUUGGAAACGACUGCUAAUACCCCAUACGUCCUCCGGGAGAAAGAUUCAUCGCCGAUGGAUGGGGCCGCGUUAGAUUAGCUUGUUGGUGGGGUAAUGGCCUACCAAGGCGACGAUCUAUAGCGGGUCUGAGAGGAUGAUC
rnacentral:rRNA from 1 species